rnacentral:misc_RNA from 1 species
ACAAGCUGCAACUGAUGGCUGAAGUAAUCUUCUCAUGUUCAAAUGUUUCUGGUUAAGACAUAAAAUUAUGAACUACUUAUGCUUCAUUCUUAUCAUAUCAUGUCCUUGAUUGAUCCAUUUAUAAACCCAUAUUCUCAUGAAAAUUAUUGGUUAUGAUUUUUUCUUCCUUUGAGAAAGAAUAUGAUUGAAUGUCAAUUUAAUUCGUUAAAAGGCUUUUACACCACAUGAAGAAUCAGUUUUUGAGUUUCUUUCCAAAG